CGCGGCGGGCCUCGGAGACGGGGCGGGCCUCGGAGAUGGGGGGGCAGCCAGCUUGGGGCGGCGCCCCCCAGAGUCUCCGCGCGGGGCGCAGGCGGCGCGGCUUCUCCCGGAGGCCAGCUCCCCUGCCUGCCUGUGGGAAGCCGCUGGGACGCGUCUGGCCGCGUGGAAGGAUUUACGAUUUUAGCAGGGCCGUUUCCGGGAGUCGGAGCUCGGACCCCCAUUUUCUUUCUCCCCGGCCCAGUUGCUCUGGGCGGCAGCGAGACCUCCGUGCGUCGGAGACCCCCAGCGCCAGCGCCCACGAGCCUCCUGCCCGGGGCCUACUCUGCGCCCCGCCCGGCGGCAGGAUGCGCGGCGCGCGGGACGUGCGCUGGGCGGCGGCGGGCCUGUCCUCCGUGCUGGCGCACGCUACUGCAUUUACAGGCUGACGCGGGCUCAGGCUGCGUCCCUCUCGGUCUGCAGAAGACUCAACCAAUGGUUCAUAUGAUGAUGUCCUAAAUGCUGAACAACUUCAGAAACUCCUUUACCUACUUGAGUCAACUGAAGAUCCUGUAAUUAUUGAAUAAGCUUUGGUCACUGUGGGAAACAAUGCAGCCUUUUCGGUUAACCAAGCUAUUAUUUGUGAAUUGGGUGGUAUUCCAAUUGUUGGAAACAAAAUCAACAGCCCUAACCCCAACAUUAAAGAGAAAGCUUUAAAUGCAUUAAAUAAUCUGAGUGUGAAUGUUGAAAAUCAAAUCAAAAUAAAGGUAUACAUCAAUCAAGUCUGUGAGGAUGUCUUCUCUGGUUCCCCGAACUCUGUUGUGCAGCUGGCAGGACUGAGAUUGUUAACAAACAUGACUGUUACCAAUGACCACCAGCACAUGUUUGAGUUACAUUACAGACCUGUUCCAGGUUUACUUACUGGAAAUGGAAACACCAAGGUUCAAGUUUUGAAACUGCUUUUGAAUUUGUCUGAAAAUCCAGCCAUGACAGAAGGACUACUCGGUGCCCAAGUGGAUUCAUCAUUCCUUUCCCUUUAUGAUGGACACAUAGCAAAGGAGAUUCUUCUUCGAGUGCUUAUGUUAUUUGAGAACAUAAAUAACUGCCUCAGAAUGGAAGGCUAUUUAGUUGUACAGCCUAUUUUCACUAACGGUUCAUUGUUUUUCCUGUUUUAUGGGGAAGAGUGUGCCCAGAAAAUAAGAGCUUUAGUUCAUCACCAUGAUGCAGAGGUGAAGGAAAAGGCUGUAACAAUAAUACCAACAAUCUGAUGGGUUGGUCAUAUUCUUCCAAAGAGAAAUGCAGUCUAGAAAUAGCACACGUUAAGCUUCCUAUUCCUAUCUUCCAUAUAAGGGGAUUCUUCCAGCUGCUGAAUUUAAACAAUAAAUAUCACAUUUCACCAUUAACACAGCUAUAACUUACUCUUUAGGUUUAUUUUGAACCAUUUUAUUGAUACCAGAUAAAUACACAAGCUUGUACUGAAACCAUUUAUUUUUAAUUUUGCUGUUUAUUGACAUACUUUAUUUUCUGUACAUGAAGUGGCAGUGACCGUUUUUACACAUAAGCUACCCUUCUACUCUUUGAAGUGAUUUGCAGUUACUCAUCUGAGACACAAUUACUGUAUGACUAAAUCACUGUUCUUUGCCUACCAUAGGAAUAGCCUUGUUCUUUUAGUAGCAAUGAGAUUGUGAACUCUGAGUCCACUGGCCAUACUGCUUUCAUAAGUCUAUUCUAAUCAUUAGAAUCUAUUCUAAUCAUGUCUAGUCAACGACAAACAUAACCUUUUAGGAGAGGAUGUUUCCUAGGACUCACCGACUCCCAUUCAGUGUUCCACUAUGUAAAGAUGUUGCUUCAUACAAAAUACUGGGAUCAAUCAAAACAUCCAUCUUUAGGCAGUUGAUUAAAUCAAUUACUCAGUCUUUAAAAAGAAUGAAGCAGGUCUGAAUGUGCUGAUAUCAAAAGAUAUCCAUGAA